UACGUAGGCAGCGAGCGUUGUUCGGAGUUACUGGGCGUAAAGAGUGCGUAGGCGGUUUUCUAAGUUUGGUGUGAAAUCUCCCGGCUUAACUGGGAGGGUGCGCCGAAGACUGGAAGGCUUGAGUAUGGGAGAGGUAAGCGGAAUUCCUGGUGUAGCGGUGAAAUGCGUAGAUAUCGGGAGGAACACCAGUGGCGAAGGCGACUUCCUGGCCUGUUCUUGACGCUGAGGCGCGAAAGCUAGGGGAGCAAACGGG
rnacentral:rRNA from 1 species